UAAAUAGACCGGCACGAAGGCACGGCACAGGCAGAGAUAUAAUAGAGACAGAUCAUGUAUUAAACGAGAUCGGAGAUGUAUGACAUGUAUAGACGACUAUGAUCAAGAAUCAUCAACAUACAAGGGUAUGAGAAAAGAACAAGGGUUUCGUCGACGUCGCGAAGGGCGUCGACUAAGUGCAAAAAGGUCGACCUUGACGAACGCGAGGAAGGUGGCGGAGGCCUCCUGCUGCCUGGAGCACGACACGGUGGCGGAGCGAGGCCAACGGACUGAGUAGCCUGGCUGUGACGUCACGGACGAUGAGAACGGAGCGAUGCGUCGUGGUUCCUGGUGACACGCCCCUGCGGCUUGACCAAAGGUGACAUGGGCCCCUGCGUUAGUGAAAGCAGUGGCGCGAAGGCCGACUGUUAACCAAGAACCACGGCAUGGUCUUCAGAAUGGAAUGGAAGGUAUGGCCUUGGUUGGGAGCUCACCGGCAGAGGAAUGGAGCCAUAGCGAGAUACUGGGUGCUCCUGCUGCUGUCCUUGGGUGCGAUGCAGGGGCUCGGCUUGCAGCGUCGAUGGAGACCGGGCACGGGCUCGAGGGCUCGAAGGCGAGGUCGGGGCCGUGGACGCCGAACGGGGUCGCGGUCACCACGGCCGCGGCGUCGCGACGGCGGGUGCGCGGGGACGGGGCUCGGCUCCGCGGGGCGUCCACGCGGCCGGCCAGGUCGGUGUCACAGAGGAUGCCGAGGUCGAGGGCGAGGACGUCGUUGUCAACAGGCUCGACGAAGAGGAAGGGGCGCGGCCGGGGCGGUGGCGCGGGGCGAAGCUUGACGUGGCAGGGUGGAGCUCGGUGCAGAGCGCCGCCGUGGGCAGCACGGCGUCGUGGACGAGGAGCUUGACGCGGCGGGCGGCUCCGGCGCUUGGUGAACUCGACGUCGGGGCGUCCACGGGCUCCGGGGGCGAGGUGCUCGGCGAAGUGGCUCGCACUGGUGCCCGGCGCGCGGCAUCGGUGGCUCUGUCGAUGGCGUCGCGGGGUCGAGGGCGAGGGCGCACGGCAUCCUGGGCGCGACGAGGUCGAGGGCGCGGACGCGUCGGGCGAGGUCGGUGAGGACGAGGCGGGGCGUCGCGACGGCGGCUCGGCGGGCAGCAAGGGAAGAGGAGACGGGGUGGCAGCGUCAAGGGAGAGCAGAAGGCGGCGUCGGCGAUUUAUAGGCGUCGAGACUAGGGCUCCUAGGGUAGGGCGUCGAUCCUCGACGUCCGUGUCCGCAGCCGGACACGCGGCGCGGAUCAAGCGGGUGGGCACGGACGCCUAGGGCGCGAGGGGCUCGUGCGGGCGCUUGUCCAUGGCGGCGGCGUCGGGGAAGGCUGGGGGCGCGCGGCUUCCUUCGCUAGGGUUGGGGCGCAGGGGAGGCUCGCGGCUGGGCCUUGGCUGCUGCGCGGGCCGAGUUCUGGGCCGCAGAGGGGAAGGGAGGCCAAGCUGGGCUGACCGGCUGCUACGCAGGGGAGAAGGGAGGGAGGUGGGCCGACGCUGCGAGUUGGGCCAGGGCGAGGUCAGGCUGGGUCGCGCGCGCGGGUUGGCGCUGGGUCACGGGCCGGGAUGGCCAGCUAGGCUGCGCGCAGGGGCAGAGGGGAAGGGAACCUAGGCUGGGCCGAGGGAAGGAGGAAGAGGAAGUCAGGGGAAAAGAAAAGAAUUGGCCCAUGAAAGGAGAAGGGUUUUCCAUUUACGAAAUUGACUCAAGGGCUUUGAGGGAAAAUUAAAAAGGAUAUGUAGGGCAUUCGAGAGAGAACUCAAAAAGAGAUUGAGAUGGGUUUCCAUGAACUUAAGAUAGAUUUAGCGGUGGAGAUUUAGUGAUGAGAUCAACGAGAGAAAAUGUUUGAGAAGAGAAUUUUGAAAAAGAGUUCAAAAAGGAUUAAAGGAGUUUGAGACGUACUCCAACCGAAAGAUUGAGAAGGGAUUCGCUUCACCCUUGAGAUAGGCUCAACGGAGAUUGGGGAGUACUUGCUACAGAUUUGUGCACUCCAAAAGAAACUCAAAACCCUAAACAAGACUAAACUCCAAACCGACUCACGAACAAAGGCACUCACCUAGAAACAAAUCUAUAUGUAUGCCACGAUUUGUUAGCGGGUUAGGAUCGAUUUAGAUCUAAAAACUAUAUGCUUCACAAGAUUACAAGAAAAAUUUUAAAAAGCUCGUAUUUUUGGUUUACGUAAAAAUCUAGGAUGUUACACUCCUUCCCCAAGUAAGAUGUUUGUUGGGUAUUUUAAACGCAAACAGAAAAAUCCGCAAGCGCACGGAUACCGAUGUAGCUUUCACCCGGGAGUAUUCCAGAGUAUCGAUUUUCCACAGAGAACGUGAGUGUACUAAUUAAGAUCCAAGAUCGCCCAAGGAUAACUAUAUAAUUAUUUUUUUGGUGGAAGAGAGGAAGUUUCCUGAGAGUUCUCUAGUUGAUCUAAGAAUCAAGAAUUACUUCAAGAUUAUCUAUAUCAGGACAUCAGAGCACUAACCACAGAAAGAGAUGAGAAGGGGGCUAGGAAGGUCUGACUACGGUCCUACAAACACCGAUCCGAACGUGGUGGAAUACGUCGACCGUUAGGGCUGUCACUACCCUAGGGCUACCACAACAAUCCGUAGGAUUGGGUGCAAUUCCAGGUAAUUGCAAGACUAAACACCACGUCUAAUCUAUUAAUUACUACUCUAGCGUUAUAAAGACUAGAGCACUUGAUGCAAGCGGGAAUCCAAUAAAUAACUUGAAUGUAAAUAAAAGUAAUUAAAGAACUCAGGAAUUAUGAAUUGAAGAACCUGGAGAACGAUGAAGAACGAACCAGAUGCUGCAAAAGUAUAAUGUUGAGGAAGAUCCGACAGAUCCGGCUCCUCCUCUGCUCUCCUCUUCUCUCUCCCUAUUUUCUAGAUUACAACUAGAACUAACUAGAACUAGAACUAGAGGAACUAGAACUAGAACUAGAUGAACUAGAACUAGAUCUAGAUGAACUAGAGGUAGAACUAGAAGAACUAGAGGGAUCCUCUCUACUUGGAUGAAGAAUUGAAACCCUAGCUUUGAUUCUGUAGAAGAGGUAUGCCUCCAGGGGCUGGUGGGGGUCUGCUUAUAUAGUCCAGGAAGAGUAGCCCCCAAGAAAUCUAGGAAGAGUAGCCCCCAAGAAAUCUAGGAAGAGUAGCUCCCAAGGAAUUUCCACGUUAUUCUCCACCAUCCGAUCAAACCGACCUUCAUCGUGUGAUUUUCCUCGAUCCUUAGAGUCGGUGGAGCAUAAUCCCCGAGACUCGUGCUGAUUGGCCAGUAGAGGAGGGCGGGCGCCCUGCCUCUGGGCCCGCUCGGCCUCCCGUUCUUUCCCGUGGCUUCUGGAGUCUUCUAGAUGAUAGAAAAUUGCGCGGCACGUUAAUAUCUCUACGUAAUCCCGACGUGUGGGCCUUUCUUCCAUAUUUCCUGAUAACCCCCUGCAAAAAUAGACAAACACCAAAACUCGUAGAAUUCUGUCAGAUAAAACCCUAAGUCUGGGUGUUGGUUGCAUUUGGAUCCUUUUCCAUGAUUAAUUGAUGGUUAAAUGUGAGCAUUAAGGACCGUCAACAAGCUCCCCCAAGCUUAACCUUUGCUCGUCCCUGAGCAAAGCUAAAAUCAUCAAGAAAACAGGGGUUACUUUUAUGCCUUUUACUAAAGGGGUUUUAAGUUAUCACUAAGGUCUUAAGUGAUUGAAAAACAGAAUGAUCAAGUCAAGCACUAUGUCUCAAGUUCUUCUGUCUUACCUUUGUUCUGGAGUUGUUUGUAAGUUUUCAAAAUAAAUCUGAGGCAUUUGCCUUCUUCUCGAAAGAUAUAUAAGUAGAGCUUUAAAAAUUUUAGCAUACUUACUUUGCAUUUUGCUAUGUCAAUGCUCGGAGCAAGGGAGAGGAAUGUCAUACUCCUAAAUCAAGACCUUUGACCUUUUUUGAAGAGUUUGUCAUCUCUUACUGGCAUAUUGCUUAUUAGAGGGACCAUGGGCUAUCAUUUUUUUCUUUUUUUUCUUCUUUUUUUAGUCUCUUUUUUUCAAGUGGGUAGCAAGUACCCCUAAUUCUACUGUCGGACACAUGUCCAUUUUUUUCCACUCAGGUGGGUAUCUUUGUACCCCUAAUUCUACUUCGGACACUUGUCCAUUUUUACCUCUCAUCUCACUCUUUUUUUUCGAAUCAAAUUUUUGCAUAGUCCCAUGCCUCUAACGCAAUAAUACUUCGGAAGAGUGAAUCUUUUAUAUUUUUUAAAACAAAAAGAUCUUGAUCUUGGGAGCAUGAUAAUUCUCUCAACCAAAACUACAAGAAUUAACAAUGGCUUGAACAAAGAAAGUACCCAUAGUUUUAAUAUUUAUUUCUUAUAAGACUCUAGGUAUUAUGAUCUCAUAUAUUUUUUUUAUGAACUUUUAGAUUUUCAAAAGAUAAAAUCUCCAGAACUCUAGCAAAACUUGGAACAAGUUAAAUAGUAGCUCAGACCUUCUCAAACUAUUAUAUAUUACUCAAAACAAAAACUGUGUUUGGUUUCAUGGUUAUGCAUUUUUUUUAUUUCCGAAUACUAGUAAAUAAAACUAAGAAAGAAAAAUAAUACUUAUCUUGAUUUAUUUUUUUAUUUAGCAAACUAAGCAAAGAUAUAUAUAUAUAUAAGCAUAAAAUCUUUAUUUGGGUUUUUAUGAUUAUGCAUCUUUUUAUUAAUUGAGUAAAGUAUAAACGUGAGUAGAACACUUAGCUGGAUAAAUGGGGGUGCUCUCCCCCAAGAUGGAUUUUGACAUAAUUUCUUCUGAUGUAGCUAGCAGGUGGCGGAGGUGUAUUUGAAUGUCGGCAGCACUCUGACAGCGAUUAGGAUGUCCUUCGUCUGCUAGUCUUCUUUGAUCUUUGAAUUCUAUGGAGCUCAAAUAGACAACAAAGCUUUGUGUUCUAGUUAAGUGUUAGCAUAAAUAUCUAGCCUUUAUCAUGUUGAGCCUCCUCAAUAAAUGUUACUCAUUAGUAGGAUCAUAAUUUUAUUUUUAUAAUUUUAUUUUUAUAGGACAGGAAUAUAUUUAUUUUAUUUUUAUGCCACCACAGUGAAUGUACUUAUGGGUUUUAUGCCAUGAGCAUACUCACAUGGGGCUUACUAUUUUAAACAUUUUUAUUUUCUUUUCAAGAUGAUAUGAACCUGCUUAACUAAAAUAAUUGAAAGGAAAAGAUAACUAGCAAGUUUACCUCUUGGCAAGGCGUUCGGUGUUUUUAAGUCCUCCGAACGAGACUCUCCAUUUUCUCAGUUGUCCUGAGAUUCGCUGGAUGGCGUAGUCGGUGGUUCCGGCGGUGCUUCCUCUUCGUGUAUAACUAUCUUCUCUCUCCACACCUGACUCGGUGCUACGGUCUCCUCAGGACAGUUCUGUUCAAGUUGUUUGUCUUCAGACCUUACCACUUCUCCAUCAUAGUCUACCCAUCCAUCCUUGAUGAUUUUGCCUUCUCUGGUUGCGGUUGCGUCAUCUCCUUCUUGUCCUGACCUGCUUAGAGUCUUCAACUAUACAGUUAGGGACAGUACAAUAGCGGCAUACCUUCUCAGAGGGGAAGUGCAUGUGGACUUCUCCGGUUCCAAUGUAGAUGAUUGCUUUAACGGUGCUGAGGAACAGUCUUCACAGGAUGAUGGGUGGAUCGUACUCGUUUUUUCCCAUGUUAAUAACCUAAAAAUCUUCAACCUUUCGGAAUGUCUGAUCUGCUAUCUGAAGUUGAAUGUAUGUCGGUUUUAGGGGCAUAGUUCCAUGCAGGAGCUGAUAAGUGACUGCGGCCAUUAUGUUGACGUCAGAUACGGUGUCGUAGAGUGUCUUCUGAAAAGAAUAUCCGUUGAUUGUGCACUCGAUGCUUGGAACACCAGGGUCGGCCUUCUUGAUCAAGAAAGGUGACUUGAGUUGACGAUCUUGACCUCCUUGAGCUGCAGUGACCAUCUUAGCUGACUUGGUGCACAUUUGCUUGUUCCCGUUCCUCCUGUUGGUCCUCUUUCUUGAUUCAUGUUGGGAUUGCUCUGAGAUUUGUGUAGUCUUGUUCUUGAAGGAAAACGUCUCCUUCCUCCCCUUGAUGUAGGAACUGGUAUUAGCAGUACUAGCGUAGAUGACAGCUCCCGAGGUGUUCAGGAAUGGCCUCCCUAGGAUGAUGGGUGCCCUCUCAUCAGAACCGGUCUCUAUCACCAUGAAGUUUGCUGGGGCGUACAAGGUACCAACUCGGACGCAAAGGUUCCUCAGCAUAAUGUUGACGCUGGAGCCAAAGUCGCAGAGUGCUUCUAGGAAGUCCACCAUGCCGAUGGAGAUCGGGAUGACGGGGCAUCCUGGGUUGUCUCUCUUGAGCGGCAGAAGGUCAGUAAUCACUUCCACAACGGGGUUACUCUAGUAGUUACGUCCUCAAGCAUCUCAGGGCAGUGAUUGCCUGAGUGUCCAGUAUCUCCAGUGUGUUUGUGCUCAUAGAUCUAAGUUCUUCACUUGGUGGAGUCUGGGAGUUGUAAAACUCCUUCACAUUUUGCUCGAAGUGUACCUGCUCAUAGAGACAAGGCAGAGAUCAAGUGCAUGGGCCCUGUUGGUGGAAAACACCAACAGAACCAAAAGUGUAUUUAUUCUUCUCUAACCUUAAGCAUAGUGAGCAAGACAAAGUUGAUGGAUAAUAAGAUCAUGAGUGUAGCAUUUAAAACAUUUGUCACAUCAGAUCGCUCAACCUAAUGGAAAGAUAAUUUAUCUAUACUUAUGUUUAUAUAUAUCUUCCAAAGAUUGAAUGUGCAACAUUUUAGUUCAUAUGAUUAGGAGUGUGGGAUCACAAAGGUGGAAGGACUAAACAUGUUGAAUCGAUUGGGUUGGUUAAUCUAGAGUUGUAAAUCAUACAUGUUUGUCUCUUUUAUUCAUGUAAACGCCAGAACCAAGGAGAAGCUUUAUAAAAGUGAUAGUCAAGUACCUUAAGAUGUUACCUUACUUGAAGAGUGAUGGUACAGUAUCACCUUGUGGAAGCUUUCCUUUCUUAGUGGUUGUGCAUCGUGUUUGUAGCACCCUCCAUGGAUCAUCUCUUGUGAGCUAUGCCUUCCUUGUGUAAAUUGUUAACCUUCAUGUGCUUCUCUCUUUGUCUCCAAUGUGAGUUUAUCUCAGGACUUCCCAGGUUGAUAUUGAAAGUUUUCCUGCAGGGGUUAGUCCAACAAAAUAUCCAAUAUCUACUAUAGCAUACUAUCGGCUCAAAGAUCAACCUAGACACCAUGUCUAAUUUGAUUUAGGAUUGCAUUUUAACUUAAGCAUCAUGCUUAAUUUAAAAUCCCUUGGAAGUAAGAUCAUCAUUCCUAACUAAGCACCAUGCUUAAUUAAGAGAUAAAUAAAACUACUCCAAACCUAAACAUAUACUAAAGCAAAUAAAGGUAGCAUGAGAGCAUUUAUAGAGAUCUACUCAAGUGGGGAUGUGUGAUUAGUAUUUAACAAAAUUGAGCAUGUCUCAAAGGUAGGGACUACCAACAUAGCAACAUGGCAAAGGAUGCUUUUAAUGUAAAGUACUCCCCCAAGCUUGAAUUUUGCAAAAUUCAAGUUUGGAUGAAUUUAAUUCAAUGUUGUAUGAUGAUUGGUUGGACAUACCUUGUGCUUGUCAUUCAUCCGAUCUUCUUGCUCCAAUCCUGGAAAGGUUAGUGACAAGAAUACCCGAAGGAAUAUUUUUACAAUUAUCCUUAUAUGCUCAACACACAAGGUAAUAUUGCAAAUAAUUCAAAGCUCAUGUUACGAUCUAAUCAGUGCUUAUUUUAGGACACUAAGCUUGUCCUUGGGAAACCAUCAAUUUAUGUCAGUGAAGUGGUUUCCCCUCCAACGCUGACCUAUAUCAAGAUCAACUCAACGAGAUCUGCAAAAUUUAUUAUAAACAUAUGCAUCGACAACCGCCCUUUUAAAGUUUUGGAGAGACCAAUGGAUUGUGAAGAUGGUGCAUAUGAGCAUGGAGUAAAUGAAGUGGCUAUGAAAUAAAUUCCAUGCUCAUUAAUGCUUAGAGUGAAAUCCAUGUGGUAUGGUGAAAAUGAUAAGGUGAGUGUGGUAAAAAAAGGAAAAGAAAAAGGAUACAUGGAUGACUUGGUUCGAAACUAGCACAGCUACUGUUCCCCGGCAAUGGCGCGAGAAAGCUUGUUGGGUAUUUUAAACGCAAACAGAAAAAUCCGCAAGCGCACGGAUACCGAUGUAGCUUUCACCCGGGAGUAUUCCAGAGUAUCGAUUUUCCACAGAGAACGUGAGUGUACUAAUUAAGAUCCAAGAUCGCCCAAGGAUAACUAUGUAAUUAUUUUUUUGGUGGGAAGAGAGGAAGUUUCCUGAGAGUUCUCUAGUUGAUCUAAGAAUCAAGAAUUACUUCAAGAUUAUCUAUAUCGGGACAUCAGAGCACUAACCACAGAAAGAGAUGAGAAGGGGGCUAGGAAGGUCUGACUACGGUCCUACAAACACCGAUCCGAACGUGGUGGAAUACGUCGACCGUUAGGGCUGUCACUACCCUAGGGCUACCACAAUAAUCCGUAGGAUUGGGUGCAAUUCCAGGUAAUCGCAAGACUAAACACCACGUCUAAUCUAUUAAUUACUACUCUAGCGUUAUAAAGACUAGAGCACUUGAUGCAAGCGGGAAUCCAAUAAAUAACUUGAAUGUAAAUAAAAGUAAUUAAAGAACUCAAGAAUUAUGAAUUGAAGAACCUGGAGAACGAUGAAGAACGAACCAGAUGCUGCAAAAGUAUAAUGUUGAGGAAGAUCCGACAGAUCCGGCUCCUCCUCUGCUCUCCUCUUCUCUCUCCCUAUUUUCUAGAUUACAACUAGAACUAACUAGAACUAGAACUAGAGGAACUAGAACUAGAACUAGAACUAGAUGAACUAGAACUAGAUCUAGAUGAACUAGAGGUAGAACUAGAAGAACUAGAGGGAUCCUCUCUACUUGGAUGAAGAAUUAAAACCCUAGCUUUGAUUCUGUAGAAGAGGUAUGCCUCCACGGGCUGGUGGGGGUCUGCUUAUAUAGUCCAGGAAGAGUAGCCCCCAAGAAAUCUAGGUAGAGUAGCCCCCAAGAAAUCUAGGAAGAGUAGCUCCCAAGGAAUUUCCACGUUAUUCUCCACCAUCCGAUCAAACCGACCUUCAUCGUGUGAUUUUCCUCGAUCCUUAGGGUCGGUGGAGCAUAAUCCCCGAGACUCGUGCUGAUUGGCCAGCAGAGGAGGGCGGGCGCCCAGGGGGGUAGGGAGGGCGCCCUGCCUCUAGGCCCGCUCGGCCUCCCGUUCGUUCCCGUGGCUUCUGGAGUCUUCUAGAUGAUAGAAAAUUGCGCGGCACGUUAAUAUCUCUACGUAAUCCCGACGUGUGGGCUUUUCUUCCAUAUUUCCUGAUAACCCCCUGCAAAAAUAGACAAACACCAAAACUCGUGGAAUUCUGUCACAUAAAACCCUAAGUCUGGGUGUUGGUUGCAUUUGGAUCCUUUUCCAUGAUUAAUUGAUGGUUAAAUGUGAGCAUUAAGGACCGUCAACAAUGUUGUCGUGGUCAAAUGUUGAGAAGUUGAGUGAUCCUUCUCAAAACAUGCUGCAAAAGGAUGUCCUUAUCCAUGACUAGAGUGAAAAUGACCAUAUAAUCUUGCUCUUGAUCAUAUGUGUCAUCCUUUUGGCCUCAAAGAUGGAGACCUUGAUGGUUUCAUCUCUUGUAAUGGUGAUUUUGAUGAUGGCGUCACCCUUGUUCUUUGUAUGCCCUUGUACUUUUCUUCACCAGCACGUUGAAGUAUGGCAUUAAUGGUGGAAGCUAGUGACAUCUUGCUUAGUGUGCAUGUUCAUAAGUUCAGAACUUUCACUUGUAGAAUUUUGGGGAAUUAACAAACUCCUCCAUAUUUUGCUUGAAGUGUGUCCUGCAUGUAAACAUAAGGUAGAGAUCAAGUGCAUGGGCCCUGUUGGUGGAAAAACACCAACUGAACCAUAACUCUUGUUUUCUUUUCUUUAUUCUUCUCUUAUCUCAGACACAUUGAAUAAUACAAAGCUAAUGUUGCAUAAUUUACUACUACUACUACUACUAGUUUCAAAGUUAGGAUAGGUUGUGAAGAUUGUGGUUAGCUAAAGCUCACACUCAUUUUGCUUCAUUUUUAUAAAACAUGGGUGUAGCUCAUAGCCAGGUGUUAGGAUAGGUUGUGAAGAUUGUGGUUAGCUAAAGCUCACACUCAUGCCAUAUAGACAGAUAGGAGCAAAAUUCAUAAAGAAAAAAUAAAAAACAAAAAUAAAGAAUAAAAGAUAAAAUGUUAAGCUAGUCUCAAAGUUAAUUCAGCAACUGUUUCCCUAGCAACAAUGUCAGAAAGCUUGUUGGUAUUUUAACGCACACAUAAUAAUCACAAAGAAUGAUCACAAGCACAUGGAUGUCAAUGUAGCUUUCACCUAGAGGUUUUAAAUAUUGUAUCCACAAGGAAACGUGUGAAACUAACUACAAUCUAACUCAACAAAAGGAGUGAUAACUAGGUAUAGGUGGAUGAUAACUAAGAGUAGCGAUAAGGUUAGGAUAAAUAGGAGCAUAGAAAGGAUAAAUAUGGGUUCUCUACUUCUAACUUGGGUAACUAUGUUUUUUAUUAUCCAACUUCGGCGCAUGUCUUAUAAAGAAUGUAUGAAAUUUAUUCUCUACAAGCACUAUAAAACCUAUCGGUCCUAUUAACGGGAUAGUGGACUACAGGGGACUCAAUGGGUCUAUCACACCCAUGAUGUACCAUAGAAAUCCAAAAAAUAGGGGAAGUUUAUGAUUAACCUAAGCCCAAGCACCAUGCCUACACAUAAGAUUAAUACUCUACUCCCUCUAGUGCAGGAAUAAAGCACUCAAAACAGUACCUAACAAUUCAACAAUAUAAAUAAAGUAAACUUAGAUCAAAAGUUGAUUACCAGAGAAAUCUCAAAGAUAAACUCAAGUAGAACUUAGAUCCACUAAAGUACAAGUCGUAGAGGGAGCACUAACAGGUCGGCACCUCCUCCAAACUCUUCCCUCACUCUCUAUCUCUCUAUUUCUAUUCAUAAGACUAGAUCCUAUGGAGAUCUAAUAUUCUCUUGAUGGCUAGCUCUAGGAGGUAGAUCCAUUCAUGGGACCCCUCUUUUGAUGCUAACAGAAGAAUAUGAACUAGGGUUUUGGCACUACCCCCGGGAGGGGGCGAGGGGUCAGAUUAUAUAGCCCGGUGGGAUGAUUAUGAGCCCUUAGAUCAAACUAACUUAAGGGAUGGCUUAGAUGCAUCCUUGGAGGUGGUGGGGGAAGCUUCCAAAAGCUAGAGGUGAGAGAGUGGCAUGCUAGGCCGGCUGGCCCUAGGCCUAGGCUAGUCGGCCCACUUUGGUGGCCAUUUGGGCCCAUAUUUGGUAGUUCAUCUUCUAUUGCCUUCUAGAGUAUUCUCAUGUAUGUACCAUGGUGGAAUUCCAUCAUUUAUUUUAAAAAUAGAUCCCUCUAGAUAAAUCCUGUAGAAAAUAAUAAUUCACCAAAAAUUGUGGAAUUUAUUAGUUU
rnacentral:lncRNA from 1 species